GAUGAACGCUAGCGGAAGGCUUAAUACAUGCAAGUCGAGCGGUAGGUGGCUUCGGCCAUUGAGAGCGGCGCACGGGUGAGUAACGCGUACAUGACCUGCCUGUCAGAAGGGGAUAGCCCUGGGAAACUGGGAUUAAUACCCUAUGGUAUUGAUAUUAUGAAUGAUAUCAAUUAAAGUUGAGGCGCUGACAGAUGGAUGUGCGUCUGAUUAGCUAGUUGGUAGGGUAACGGCCUACCAAGGCGACGAUCAGUAGGGGGCGUGAGAGCGUGGUCCCCCACACGGGUACUGAGACACGGACCCGACUCCUACGGGAGGCAGCAGUAAGGAAUAUUGGUCAAUGCCCGCAAGGGUGAACCAGCCAUUCCGCGUGGAGGAUUAAGGCCCUCUGGGUUGUAAACUUCUUUUGUAGAGGAAAAAACCCCCCGAUUCUUUGGGGGCUGAUGGUACUCUGCGAAUAAGCAUCGGCUAACUCCGUGCCAGCAGCCGCGGUAAU
rnacentral:rRNA from 1 species